rnacentral:rRNA from 1 species
AACGAACGCUGGCGGCAUGCCUAACACAUGCAAGUCGAACGAGACCUUCGGGACUACUUGCGCACGGGUGCGUAACGCGUCGGAACCUGCCUUUAGGUUCGGAAUAACUCAGAGAAAUUUGAGCUAAUACCGGAUGAUGUCUUCGGACUAAAGAUUUAUCGCCUUUAGUUGGGCCCGCGUUGGAUUAGCUAGUUGGUGGGGUAAAGGCCUACAAAGGCGACGAUCCAUAGCUGGCCUGAGAGCACGAUCAGCCACACUGGGACUGGGACACGGCCCAGACCCCAACGGGAGGCAGCAGGAGGGAAUGUUGAACAGUGAGCGAGUGCCUAAUCCAUCCAUGCCGCGUGAGUGUUUAAGACCUGAGGGUUGUAAAGCUCUUUUACCCGAGAUGAUAAUGACAGUAUCGAGAGAGUAAGCGACGGCUAACUCCGUG